AGUGGAGCAGCCGGGACUCGAACCAGCACCCCUAGGGGAUGCUGGCACCGCAGGCAGCAGCUUAACCUGCCAGGCCACAGCGCCAGCCCCUCCCCUUUCUUACAGUAAAGCAUGCUAGCUUUUCUCUGAGAUUGGGGAAUGCUUGUCCAGCACCACAGUCCUUCUCUGCUCACCACUUCACCGCUGCACAAACGCGGGACUGUCUCCCGGCCGCAUCCUAAGUCGCAGUGAGAAGCAAUCUCGACUGUGUUCUUUCUGUUCCUGUGUCAUCUCGCACCACCAGCUGAGGGAACACAUCUUUCCAGGGGAAAGAAAAACAGAAUAAAGAAAAUAAUUUCUAAGAGCUAGAAAGUGGAGACAACUAGAAGGGAAACGAAGGAAGAAGAGGGAGGCAACCAUAAGAAAAGAGAAAAACGCUCCUUCGGCACUUGGGCCACCAGCACUUUUUCUCACCUGAGAGCUAACUGGGACUCUUCAAUGCCCAAGGUGUGUAUGUUUUGUAGUCUAUGGAUGAAGGCGUUUCCCGUUUACUCACACUUUUAAUCUCUCUGUGAAUGUUGAUUGUAAGGGUUUCCUUCUUACAACUCCCUAUAGCAGAAAACUCAGUUUUUGUCCUUGAAUACAAAUUGAGUCAUUCUUAUUUAGCACUCAUUCUUUUCAACACACACAUGGGUAUGGGGGCAUGUACUGUAUAAUCUCUCAGUAUAUCUCAUUUCCAUAUUACCUUCUUCAACCUUUUAAGAAAAUUAAGCAUUUUUUUUUAAAAUGAUUGGGACUGGCGUUAUGGCAUAGAAGGUUAAGCCGCUGCCUUUGACACCAGCAUCCCAUAUGGGUGCUGGUUCCAGUCCCGGCCACUCCACUUCUGAUCCAGCUCCCUGAUGAUGAACCUGGCAAAGCAGCAGAAGAUGGUCCAAGUACUUGGGACCCUGCACCCACAUGGGAGACCCUGAAGAAGCUCCUGGUUCCUGGCUUCAGCCUGGCCCAGCCCUGAGCAUUGUGGCCAUUUGCGGAGUGAACCAGCAGAUGGAAGAUCUCUCUCUUGCUUCCGCUCCUCUCUCUCUGUAAGUUAGCCUUUCAAAUAAAUAAAAAUUGUAUUUGGUUGAGAAGCAGAGAAUAAAUGAAUAUAGAUAUGAGAUAUACUGAGAGAUUAUACAGUACAUGCCCCCAUACCCAUGUGUGUGUUGAAAAGAAUGAGUGCUAGAUAAGAAUGACUCAAUUCAGAGAGCUCCCAUCUGUUAGUUCACUCCCCAGAUAUCUACCAAGACAACUGCUUUGUAUGAAGAUACCAGAUGGCCAGGGUACCAUUCACAGUUAAGAAGCUCUGGUUUGGGGCUGGCAUUUGACACAGCAGUCAAGAUGCCACUCACGAUGCCCACAUCCCGUAUCGGAGCACCAGUUUUGACUCUCAGCUGCAUUUCUGAUUCCAGCUUCCUGCUGAUGGGCACCCUGGGAGACAGCACGCGAUGGCUCAGGUAUUUGGAUCCCUGCCACUCAUGUGGGAGACCAGCUUGAGUUCCAGGCUCCUGACUUUGGCCUGGCCCUGCCCUGGCUGUUGCAAGAAUUUGGGGGUGAACCAGGAGAUAGGAGAUCUUUGUUCUUUUUGUCUCUGUCUCUCUGCCUUUCAAGUAAAAUGAAAAGAAAUAUGAUCUCUGACUCCAUGGAGAGGCCGUGCACAGGGAUCUAUCUGUCCAGGCUGCGGGCAGUUCCUGGAAAGCUACAGCUUCGGGGAUCUCUCCCCAGGUGCUGUGAGCUCCAGAGCACAGUCACGGUUCACAGUGUGGAAGGAUUGCUGGCUCCAUGGCUCCAUAGGCUGGUCUGCUUCAAGGGGACGGCCUGGCCCAGGGCCUCAGUUCUCUCCUGUUUCGUUCCCUUCAGCUCAUCCCACUGCUCAGCUCCCAUGCUCAGAAUGCACCCAAGAAAAUGAUUGAAAGAGAUGCCACUUAAACUCAAGCCAAAAUCCUAAUGCAACCUGUCGGCCAGAGGUGUGCAGGCCCUGCCCAGCGCAGCAGGAGUCAGCUGUUUGCUGGCCUGCCCCAGUGGCCCAGGUGAGUCAUCACUUUCCCCGCCCCCACUGAGGCGUGGCUGCCGGGCCUGCACGGAAUGCUGCUGCUCCCAGUGCUGGGCUCGAGGAUCCAGCUACUUUAGUGUCUGCUCUGCCUCCCAUGAAUUAAAAAUGACUGCACUUAAAGCCCCACAGUGCUCGCUAACAGGCCUUAUAUUCACUCUGUUGGCCUUUGGCAGACACCAAGCUACCCACGUGUGCAGCACCCCUCACGGAGGCCCGGGCUUUGCCUCUCACAUGGCUGAAGAGGCAUGGGAGCGGAGCCAGCCGUGCAGAGCGUCAGCCUGGCCCCUUCAUUGGAAAUGCAGCGAUGCUACUUGCAACACAUGACUCAGAACCAACACGCCACGCCCACAGGUCCUCUAUCUACCUGGCUUGUUUCAAGUCACAGAUGCUAAAACCCGGAAGGGGAGCGACUGUGCUCUGUGCCCUGACGGGUGUCCAGCAGAGAGCUCUGCAUGCAGUAGGUGCUCAAUAGAUGUUUUUCAGGAGAAGAAAUGCACAUAAUUGUAGGCUCCAAUGACAAUGAUUAUCACUCAGUAGCUAAAAAGAGCUUCAUGAGACUUUGUGGCUCUCUAGCCUCCUUCUCCAAUAAGCUUAAAGUUUAGGAUAACAGAAGCCGGCGUGGUGGUACAGUGGGUUAAGCUGUGGCCUGUGAUGCUGGCAUCCCAUAUAAGCCCCAGUUCAAGUCCUGGAUGCUCCAGUUCCGAUCCAGCUACUAAUGUGCCUGGAAAAGCAGUGGAAAGUGGCCCAAGUGCUUGUGUCUCUGCCAUCCACAUGGGAGACCCAGGUGGAGUUCCUGGAUCCUGGCUUUGGCGUUGCUCAGCCCUGGCCAUUGUAGCCAUUUGGGGGAGUGAGCCAGUGGAUGGAAGAUUUUUCUCCCCCCCUCCCCUACCCACUUUCUCCCUCUCUCUGUAACUCUGCCUUUCAAAUAAAUAAAUCUUUUUUUAAAAAAGUUUUAGAUAAUAAAUACAUGUUUCUUUAUAAAUAAUAACUGCUUGUCUAUUUGGUAACUGGGAAGGCUGAAACUAAGUGGGGUUAUGAUUGGCUACUGCCCCACCUGGCAGGAUAAAAUUCAGUCUCUCUCAAGCUUUCCAUCUAGGAAGAACAGAGACCUAAGGGGAGAAGGGUGUUAUAAGUCACGCGGGCCAGCUAAUCUAAGUCCUUCUGAUGCUGAGCUCAGCCACUACAACUGUGUUCACCCUGUGGCUGCAGCAUUUUUCAUGGGACAGUUGCAAAACCAGGGGGCAGAGCUCCUGGGUUCUGUAUGGACUGCUGGAUUUUCCACGAGGACUCUGGAAAAGAACGGCUGGGAAGCGAGGGUGGAACCCACGCAGCAAAGUCAAGAGGCUACUCUGGGAAGGGCACACGCGAGGCAGGCCUCGUGGCAUUCCUGUCUGUCAGGGCUCAGCUCGGAGCGCCAGACAGGAGCACUUCUCUGCCCUGUUUGCCGACACCUUGUCGCUCCUGGCCACUGAGGGGAAACGAGGCAGGGAGGGGCAGUGAUGUCAGGCUUUGCCGUCCUUCCGGCUGGGAGCUGGGCUGUGCCCUUCAUUGUUAGCCAGCGUUCUGCAAACGCCCACGGCCAGCUUUCCCGUCCAACCCAGACAGGGAGGUGGAAUCAAUGGAUUCCUUUAUGUCCACGUGUGACUCUGGUCCUUAAAUGGUCUUGUUAAAGAGACAGUGAUUUUGAGAGCCGUUGUGUUUAGUGAGCCAUAUUUCUUUUCUUUACUUUUUUUUUUAUGUGUGCACUGACUUACCAUGAGCCCUCCUGGAGCCAUUUGCACCAUGGUCCCUUAAAAAUUUAUAAAAAAAUCAUUAUUAUGCAGGAGAAAGAGAGAUGCCCCAUCCACUGGUUCACUCCCCAAAUAUCCACUUUGCCUGGGGCUGGGGCCAGAGCUAGGAACUCAGUCACCAGCUGGUGUCCAAGUGGCAGCUUAGCCUACUGAGCCACAACACUGGCCCCAGGCUCAGCCAGUUAAGCCACCACUCAGGAUGCCCACAUGCCAUAUGGGAGCACGGGUUUGAGUCCCAGCUACUCUGCUUUCUGUCCAGCUAUCUGCCAAAGCAGCUGGGAAAGCAAUGGAUGAUGGCCCAAGUAUUUGGGACCCUGCCACCCAUCUGGGAGACCCAGAAGAAGCUGCUGGCUCCUGACUUGGCCUGGCACAGCCCUGGCUGUUGUGGCCAUUUGGGGAGUGAACCAGUGGAUGGAAGAUACCAUUCUCUGUCUCUCUCCUCUAUUUCUGUAACUCUGCCUUUCAAAUAAAUAAAUCUUAAAAAAAUUUUAAGUAAAAAAUUAGAACUCCUGAGUUAGAAUCCUGAUCUAUCAGUUACCAUUUUGGGCAAAAGAGAAGAAGGCUAAAAUAUUUACUUGAAAUAUUUGUUUAACUUUGAGCCUUGGUUUACUUACCAGUUUAUAUCAGAGAAUGACUGGUUGCAUAAUGUGAGAUCUCAAUAAAUGCUUGAUGAGAGAAUGAAUUACAUCAUCUCCUAGUGAAUGGGACACAGGCCUCUAAUGGGAUCCAAGCUUCCUGGGACUGUCUUACUCAUCCUUGUAUCCCUGGCUGCAGCAAACGCCCAACUCCUAGUGGAUGCUGGCGAAUUGUGAGUGACUGUAACACAUGGCAAGUUACAGGCAACUAGGUUGACAGUGUCUUCCUCAGACCAGCUCAGCUCCUGGAGUGAGAGGAAAAGCCCGGUGUGGGAGUAACCGGUUAGGACAAUAGCCAGCAGGGAAGAAACAGGCAGGAUAAGCAGGAGGCUGCAUGGGAGCAAGCCCCAGCAUCCACCCCACUGCGUGCCCCUCUGGUCCAUUUCCCCCACAGAAGGGCACUGAGCCAGGUCAGCUGUGUCUGCGCAGGUGCAGUGCCCGGCAGGAGUUAUCUCACUGCUGAGGGAGCCCCAAGCUAAAGGCUUCUGCAGGUCUGUGCCCCUCUCUGGGGGUCAGGGGUCAGAGGUGGGGGAUGGGAAGUGAAAGGGAGGCAUUAGGAGGGGGAAAGUACUGGAUACUAAGUCAAGGUAGACAAAAAUGCCUUCGAGUUGUCCCUUCUCUGCCCCCAUGAGGGAGGCCCCUGGGCUGGGAACACAGGCACUCGGUGGGUGUGAGAGAAGAAAGGCAGCAGGGCCUGCACCCUCAGGGCAGCUCCCCUUGGACCUGGGCUCGGAGCACCAAGCCUUGCCCUGCGCCUGCCAGGUAAAGCCUCUGCAGUGUCCGUAGGAGAACCGGGAAAAGCCUCUCAUAGGGUUGGGCCAGGAGCCAGCCUCCUCCUCCAGUCGGUGACAUCUGACUGGCACAGGAGCAGAGCUGACUUGGCUUAGUGGGCGCAGAGUUGGAAUCAGAACAGUUGCUUGUUUGCUUGUUUUUGUUGUUGUUUUAUUACUGCUCCUUCCUAUUUUGCACCGGAUCAGAGGUUGGAAGCUUGCACGGUUCUCGUCUCUGACGUCACAAGCAGCUGCUCUUUUGUUUUGGUUGGUUGCCCCUGCUCUGAUGGCCAGAACGAGUGGUCAUAGCCAGGUCAGCAGACUGUCGACCCCAUGAGUAUUACCUGUGAAUAUACUACGUUACACAGUCAAAGGGACUUGGCAGAUGUAAUUACAGUUACUAAUCAGUUGAUUUUUUUAAAAGAUGUAUUUUAUUUAUUUGGAAGGUAGAGAGAGAGAGAGAGAAGAGAGAGAUAAUCUUCCAUCUGCUUGGCUCACUCCCCAAAUGGCUUCAACAGCUGGAGCCGGGCAAAGCAGAAGCCAAGAGCCAGGAAUUCUGUUUGAGUUUCCAACGUGGGUAGCAGGAGCCUAAGUACUUGGCCCUCUUCUGCUGUUUUCCCAGGUGCAUUAGCAAGGAGCUGGACCAGAAAUGGAGCAGCUGGGACUCAAAUCUGGCACUCAUGUGGGAUGCCAGUGUUGCAGGUGGCAGCUUAACCUGCUGCACUAAAAUGCUAGCCCCUAAUCAGAUUAUCUUGGAUUAUCUGGAUGGGCCCAAUGUAACCUUUGAGCUUUUAGCUCAAGAAGAAGGUAAAAGUCAGAAAAGUUUUGUGGGGAGCAACUCGGACUGGACUGAGUUACUGGAAUUAAGACUUAUUCUAUGCAUCUGCUCUCCCAUAAUAUGGCGCUGGGAGAGGAGAAAACAGCUUCUACGCAGCUGCCUCUUGCCAACUUGAGUGAUGACCUCCAGGAGCAGAUCCUGCUCCUGAUUGGAGGAGAGCAGCGUACUCGGCGUGUGGGCAGGCGAGUUGGGAUUGGCGGAAGAGGACUAUAAAGGAGGAGAGAGACAACAUGCACCAGGAACAUCUGAGGGAACAUCUAUCUGAAGGAAUACCUGUGCAGCCCCCGAGAGAGCCGGCCGGCGGUGUGCCGCUCCCCCGCGGAAGUGGGGAAUGUGGCAGGGGGAACCGCCCUUCCACGGAGGUUGAAGGGACGGUAGCCAACCCGGGAAGAACCAGCAGCAAACCUGGGGAGGGCCGAGCAGACGAAAGAACAGCGCAGGGUCCUGUGUCGUUCCUCCACGAAGAGGGGGAGCGACAAGUUUGAAUCACAAGAAGGAUUUGCUGCGUUUUCACUGGGACAGGACCAUGAACCAAUGAGCCGUGGCCUCUAGAAGCUGCGAGUGACCCUUGGCCAACAACCCCUUAAGACACAGGGACACCAGUCAUGCAAGGACAGGAGAAGUAAGUCGAUUCUGCCAACAACUGGAAUGAGGCUGGAAGUGAAUUCCCCCUCAGGCCCUGCUGCCUAUCCCGUGGACUUCAGCCUGGGGUCCUGGGCAGUCCCCCUGGACAUAGGUCCGAGAGAAACUCUGGGUAAUUAGUUGGUGUUGUCUUCAGUCACUCUAUUUGUGUAAGUAAUAGCAGUAAAUUAGCAACAACAGAAAAUAAAUUCACAGGUUCAGAGCGUAAUGUGAAAAUCCAUCCCAUCCCGACUGCUCUCAGACCUGCCAAACUCCCCCUAGUAAAUUUGGUCCAUUCGGUCCCCUGUGGCAAGUGUGGCUGUGAGGCCCCAUCCAGACAUUGCUGAAUGCAGUUCCAAGUGCAUUUGUUGCAAAAUCAGGCAGGCGUGGGGCCUGGUCCUCUGAUGGCAGGAUGCCUCGUGAUGGCACCAUUAUCCCUUCUGUCCACGUGAGACCUGUGGGAAGUAUUCUGGUCGAGGAACUGGUGUUGCCAGUUAAAAGACAAUAUUCUCAGUUAAACUUGAAUUUCAAUUUUAAAGACAGUAUUUCAGUAUGUCCCAAAUACUGCACAAGACAUGUACUAAAAAAUAUUGUUGUUGUUGUUGUUUUUUUUUUUUUGGUGUAGUUGCCUUUUUUUUUUUUCAAUCUGGCAACCCUACAAGAAGCACACAUUAAAAACUAGAAUUUUCUGGGGCAAGUCACACUCACCAGGAAAGUAGUGAGUCGUGAACUAAAUUGGAUCAGCCACCCCUCUCCGGGACCAGUGCCCUUUUGUUCCUGACACAACCAAAUCUGAUAUCAGAAAAGGAUCUUACGUCAGACACCUGCACUUCAGUGGGGAUUGAUGUCAGCUGGGGUGUCUGUGCCCUUCCACCCACACUCCCGUGUGGAAUGGGAGGCCUGGCCCCCUGUUGAAGGCCAGUAUCUCUUAGUGUCACGGCGCAGGUGGGAAAUGUGUGCUCAGUCUGGUGCUUCCCAAGGUCUGGGGUUGGGAGGGAGACGUGGGCUUCUGAAAUCAGACAGAUCCGUCUUUGGAUUCUGCUGUGGCUACUGUUUUGUAAUUGGAAUAAAUUCCUAUUUCUCAGCACAUUUGUUCCCACUUGGAGCCCGUGAGGAUUGACCAUGUCUAUGUGUAUGAAAUACCUGGCACUUGGUAGGUGCUGGGUAGAUGUGCUGUGUCUUUUCCUCCUGAACUCAGACCUCAUAGCCCUGUGUCAAUGCUGUGUGCCAGCCAUAUGACCAUGUCCCUCCAGGGCCAUCUGUGGCCACCCAUCUGAAAUGUUAGCACGCAGGGUUAAAGAAGGAAAGAUUGCACUCAGAUUUACACAGAAGGGACAGCUCCAGUAAUACCUCCAUAGCAACCAUUUGUUGGAGGCUUAGUACAAUCAUGGGAGAACACUUAGAAAGGACCUCCCAUGCCAUGAUUGGUUCUGUUGGUUUUCACACAGUAACUCCCUCGACAGUCAUGACAACCCUAGGAGGGGACACCACUACUUCUCAUUUCCACCUCCGUUUUGGAUGGGGGAAUGGAAGUGCUGGGAGGUUAGAGAGCUUCCUCCAGGUUCCCGCCAGUACACAGUAGAAUGGACUUUAGACCCAGGUCUUCGGUUAUGCACCUCAUUACACUUUCUGUUGCCCUUCCUCUCAUUUAAUCCUCACCAAAAGCCCAAGAAUUAGGAAUCCCUUUAAUCCCGUGCAUUUUAGAGUUUGAUCAGCAGUGAGAAAGUAACUCUGGGAACAAAGAUGUUGGUAUUUAGCUUUCUGGGAUUUUUUAAACUGAAAUUUAUUUUAUUUAAGUGAAAGUCAGAGUUAGAAAGAAAAAGGAAGCUUCCACCUGCUGGUUCACUCCCCAAAUGGUCUGGAGCCAUCUUCCGCUAGUUUCCCAGGUGCAUUUAUGGGAUGCCAGCAUCACAGGUGGUAGCUUUACCCACUACACCACAACGCCGGCCCCAGUAUUUAGGUUUUCAAGCUUUUUAACUCUUAACAUGGUUGCAUUUAGUCCUGUUAAGUUGCACAGUAUCCCACAGGAGAGACUGGACGUCAUAGGACUGAGUGGUUGGCCUCCCAUGCCUUACGACGUGGUCUGUUUGACGGCGUUCCUCGGUUUGUCAGAGAUGUUCCAUCCAGUGGUUCUGCGGCUGUAUUUCCAGGCUUCCUGCAAAGCCCCCUUUCUCCAUCCUGUCAGGUGGUCACCCCAGCAUGGGAGCCCAGGGGACAGGUCCCGUCCAGCUCCUCUGAUGCAGCCCGCCCCUGUGUUUUCUUGGAGACAAGCGAAUCAGGUUUCCACUGAUGCCCAAAGGGAGGAAGACAAUGAAAGCUGUGGCAUGACUCUGUAGGACGCUUCUUUGUCUUCAUUCUGGAGCCCGGCAUGGAAAGUUGGCAGCUCAGCCUGAAAGUCGAGAGUGCAUAAGCAGCUGCCCGGGUUGGAGAUAAAGUCCACAAAGUGGGGAGCAGCUCACUGAGCCUGCACCGUGAAGUAGGGCCGGGGUUGGGGGGAAGGCAUGCUCUACGUCUGGAUCCAGGUCUCCACCUCCCAGGAUGGGAUCGUGUUGCCCAAUCGUGACAUCACUCAAGCUGUUCCCACACCCAUGGCCCACUUUUGAAAUUACUUAGCAGUGGUUGCAGAAGCCAAAUCUGAGAUAAAUUCCUCUGUGACUCAGACUGUUAAUCUCUGUUUUGACAACCAACAGCAAGUCACUGGAACUUCAGCUUAUGUUUGGUAUGAAAAUACCAUUACGUAAUGCCAAGUCUCCUUAGCUGAGCCACCUGCCCCGAGAAAGUGCCAACUGUGCACAGGCAAGAAAGUUGAUUCCCUUGUAUUUGGGGGCAGUAGCUGGAAUCCUUGUUCCAGGGAAGAAGCGAAGGCCUGCAGCGUCUGCUGUCGCACCCAGGCUUGUGGACUGAUUGCAACCCAGUGUCCCGCUCUGAGCAUUAUCUGCAACAGCUCAACAUCGGAGCAACCAGGAGGCAAUCCAUGGAUGAAUGGAUAAGCAAAAUGUGGACUAGGCAGACAAUGGAAAUUAUCCAGCCUUAAAGAGGACACUGUGCAGCCUGCUGCUGCAUGGUGAAGCUCGAGGACAUUACGCUAAGUGGAACGAGCCAGUCAUAAGACAAAUACAUCUUUGCCUUCCCAGCUGGACCACACACAGAGAGAGAGAGAGAGAGAGAGAGAGGAGAGAGCUGCCGGUCCCAGUGCUCCACCUGCAGACCACGGUGAUUGGUACAGAGGUGGGCAUGUAACCAAGCCAGGCAACUCAGCGCUUCUCUGGGGUGUCACAUUGAUACACUAAGAGAGAGAACAUCUCCCCUUUUUCUUGAAUCUUGAGCUCUAAGAUUGUUUCUCUAAUCAUGUCCUUUGGAGGUGGGUUGGCUACUGUAGGAUAAACUGAGACCAGUUGACGGAAGCAAAUCUAAGCAAUGAAGUUACGUAAAUUAAUAAAUGCCUAUUUGCUUUAAUUGGUUGGAUUUAAGUUUCUCUUUACUAGCAACCAAAAAAGAGUUUUCAUUCAGGUACAACCUCACUUUUAAGAACAUCUAUUGCCAUCCAUUCCUGUUCUGUUGUAGAGUAUUAUACCUCUCUCUCUCUCUCUUUUUUUUUUUUUUUUUAUUUGACAGGUAGAGUUACAGACAGUGAGAGAGAGAGACAGAGAGAAAGGUCUUCCUUCUGUUGGUUCACCCCCCAAAUGACCACAACGGCCGGCACUGCGCUGAUCCGAAGCCAGGAGCCAGGUGCUUCUUCCUGGUCUCCCAUGGGGUGCAGGGCCCAAGCACUUGGGCCAUCCUCCACUGCCCUCCCGGGCCACAGCAGAGAGCUGGCCUGGAAGAGGAGCAACCAGGACUAGUACCUGGCGCCCUAACUGGGACUAGAACCCGCAGGCGGAGGAUUAGCCAAGUGAGCCACGGCGCCGGCCCUAUACCUUUCUUGUACUGCCCCCCUUAUAAUAUAUAACUUACCACAGUCUAUUCCUGUUGACAUUUCACCACUUUGAGUGAAGUAUACAAACCUUACCUCCCAAUAUACCCCUUUAACAUUUCCCUUUGUAGGAUUAUUGAUUUUUAAAAAAGAUUUAUUUAUUUAUUUGAAAGGUAGAGAGACAGGUAUGGCAGGGACAAAGAUUUUUUCAUUCACUGGUUCACUCCCCAAAUGGCUGCAACAGCCAGGAGUAGUCCAGGCCAAAACCAGGAGUUUGUAUCUCCAUCCAGGUCUUGGGUGGCAGGGGCUCACGUACUUGGGCCAUGUUCUCUGCCUUCCCAGAUACAUUACCAGGGAGCUGGAUCGAAAGCAGAGCAGCCAGGACUCGAAUCUGCACUCUAAUAUAGGGUGCUGGCAUCACAAACCAAGGCUCACUGGCUGCACCACAGCACCAACCCCAGGAAAAUUGUUGUAAGCAUUUCCCUCUGAAUAUGUUGGAACCAUAUCAGACAUUGUUGUAAGUUUGGCUUCAAUUAUCAAACAGAAUUUAGAAUAUUCCAGAAGAGAAGGAAAGACUUGUAUUUACCCAUAUCUUUACUUUUUCUGUUGUUUUCUUUUCUUUUCUGAUGUUACAGAUUUUUUUUUCUUUUAUCAAGUGCUUUCUAAUUGGAGAAAAUCCUUAGCCAGUCUUUUAAAGCAAAUAUGGUAGUGACAGAUUCUCCUACUUUGCUUUCAUAGGGGAUGGCUUGAUAUUCCAUUCUGGAAAGAUAUUUUCACUGGAUGUAGAAUUCUGGGUUGACAAUUUUUUUCUUUCAGUCCUUGAAAAGUGUUGUGCCACUUCCUUCUGGUCUGCAUGGUUCCUGAUGAGAAAUCUGCUACUCCAACUGUUUCUCUCUUACAGUGAAAGGGUUCUCUCUCUCAUUGCUUUAAAAGCUGUUUCCUUUGUGUUUGCUUUCAGGAGUUUGAAUGUAAUGUGUCUUGGUGUGGAUUUGGGUUUAUCCUGUUUGAGGUUAUCUCAGACUUCUGCAUUAGUAGGUUUAUGUCUUUGCCAAAUCUGGGGAGAUUUCAACCAUUAUUUCUUUUUACUUUUCUAGUCUCCUCUUCUGGGAACUUACUGAUACAGGUCUUUUUUUCUUUAAUAUUUAUCUUAAUUAUUUGAAAGGCAGAGUUAGAGAGAGAGAGAGAGAGUUUUCCAUCUACUGGUCCAUUCCUCAAAUAGCCACAAUGGCUAGGGCUAUGCCAGGCCAAAGCCAGGAGCCAAGAGCUUCAUCCAGGUGUCUCACGUGGAUGCAGGGUCCCAAGCACUUGGGCCAUCUUUUGCUGCUUUCCCAGGAGCAUUAGCAGGGAGCUGGAUAGGGAGUAGAGCAGCCGGGAAUUGAACAUGUGCCCAUAUUGGAUACUGGUGUUGCAGGCAGAGUCUUGACCCUUUUUGCCACAAUGCCAGCCCCCACAAAUCUUACGCUAUUUUCUCUCAGGUCUCUGAGGUUCUUUUUUGUUGUGGGUUAGCCUGUUUUCUCUGUAUUGUUUGGAUUGGGUCAUUUGUAUUGUUCUACCUUCCAGGUCAUUGAUUCUUCCCUCUGUCCCUCUAUUCUGCUGUUUGGGGCCAUCCAUGGAGUUUUUCAUUUGGUUAUUGUAUUUUUGAGUUCUAAAAUUUCCAUUUAGUUCUUCUUUAUACUUUUUUAUUUUUUAUUUUUUUGCUCAGACCUUCGAGUUUCUCAUUUAGUUCAAGCAAAUUGUGGUCUUUCUAGGAUGGCUGUUUUAAAAUCCUUGCCAGAUGGUUCUAACAUCCGUGUCAUGUGGAUGCUAGCAUAUCUUGAUUAUCUUUUCUCACUCAAGUUGAGAUUUUCCUGGUUCUUGAAGAGUCCUUUUCUAUGGAAACCGAGACAUUUUGAGCAUGAUGUUACAACCCUGUGUCUUAUGUAAAUCUUCCAUUUAGCAGAGCUCCUUGGUACCACCCUGGUGGUUAACAGGUGUGCCACCUCAUGACUGCCAGGUGAACACUGAUGUCCAGUUUUCCCAUUCAGUCUUUUUUUUUUUUUUUUUUUUUGACAGGCAGAGUGGAUAGUGAGAGAGAGAGAGACAGAGAGAAAGGUCUUCCUUUUUGCCAUUGGUUCACCCUCCAGUGGCCGCUGCGGCUGGCGCGCUGCGGCCGGUGCACCGCGCUGAUCCGAUGGCAGGAGCCAGGUGCUUAUCCUGGUCUCCCAUGUGGGUGCAGGGCCCAAACACUUGGGCCAUCCUCCACUGCACUCCCGGGCCACAGCAGAGAGCUGGCCUGGAAGAGGGGCAACCGGGACAGAAUCUGGCGUCCCGACCGGGACUAGAACCCAGUGUGCUGGCGCCACAAGGUGGAGGAUUAGCCUAGUGAGCAACGGCGCCCGCCUCCCAUUCAGUCUGGACACCUGGGAUGCCUAUUGUUACUGCUGAGGAUGGGUGGGAAUUCAGCCCCCCUCCGCCAGGCCUCCACUGACAUAAUCUUGGAUGGGAGAGCGAGGGAUGCCUUGUCAGGGCUCUCCACAUGGUCCCUAAGGAGACCAUGAUGGGCCACCUCAUCACCUAUGGCAGUAGUA